rnacentral:tRNA from 1 species
AGGGGCGUGGUGCAACGGCAGCACACCAGCCUUUGGAGCUGUGGAUCUUGGUUCGAGUCCAGGCGCCCCUGCCU